rnacentral:rRNA from 1 species
ACUCAAAGGAAUUGACGGGGGCCCGCACAAGCGGUGGAGAAUGUGGUUUAAUUCGAUGCAACGCGAAAAACCUUACCUGGGUUUGGCAUCCUCUGAACGCCGUAGAGAUACGGAAGGCCCGAAAGGGACAGAGAGACAGGUGCUGCAUGGCUGUCGUCAGCUCGUGUCGUGAGAUGUUGGGUUAAGUCCCGCAACGAGCGCAACCCUUAUCUUUAGUUGCCAGCAUUAAGUUGGGCACUCUAAAGAGACUGCCAACGUUAAGUUGGAGGAAGGCGGGGAUGACGUCAAGUCCUCAUGGCCUUUAUAUCCAGGGCAACACACGUUCUACAAUGGUCGGUACAAAGCGCUGCGAAAUCGCGAGAUGGAGCUAACCGCAAAAAACCGAUCUAAGUUCAGAUUGGAGUCUGCAACUCGACUCCAUGAAGUUGGAAUCGCUAGUAAUCGCGGAUCAGAAUGCCGCGGUGAAUACGUUCCCGGGCCUUGUACACACCGCCCGU